GGUAGAGCUGUUGAACGAGCACACAAAGGAGAGUUUCCGAGUGAAUGGCCAUCGAGUGAAGCCGUACUACGAGCACCAGAGCUCGCCUAUGGAGGUGGAGUCUCAAGCUCUGCACAACCCUAGCUGAAGUUCAGCUCUGAAGUCGGGCUGGAGACUUUAACUCUAGCGCUUAGUGGGAGGCAACCCACCUUUGGUUUGUUUUUAAUUUUUAUUUUUCUUUUGCUUUCUUUGUUUUCGUUGUUUGUUUUGAGUCUUUCCUCAGUUUUGGUUGCCAUGUGGAUACUUUGAUGUUGGCGUUCAUGUUUUGACUCCAGCGCUGCCAGCGCCUUAGCUCCAGCCCGCCCAUUCGGUUGAUUUAUG
rnacentral:lncRNA from 1 species